GAGAAGGAGGGGUCAGCUUUUCUCCGGUAGUGAGGAUCCGGCUGAUCCGUUGUAGUGCAGCAGAGGAGGCCGGAGACUGUGGGGUGGGCUAGUCGCUGAGGCUGGGGAUGCCUGAGCAGAUGUGGAAGCAGCUGGAAAGGUGGCACAGCCCUUGGGUUGCCGCCGCCGCCGAGGCUUUGGCUGUUCCUAGGAGACAGAGGAGAAGCCAGUCUGCGGGGGAGGGGAAGCGAGUGGGUUGCUGCUUUUAGCAGCUGAAAGGGUUGCAGGGAGCUCUGGGUAAGACAUUUUCUAGCACCGUCGCUUCUGCGGUAGAAGCCUGCCGCGAGUAAGUCAGAGGAAGGAGGAUUGGGAGGGAAGGAGCUCUCAGUUGCAGCCAUGCCGAAUCACGGUCGCUGAUCAGGGUCCCUCACGGGGCUGCUGGGAGAACCCAGAGAGCAGCGCCAGUUCCCGGGUGCAUGCACAGUUUGGUGGCUACUAACCCUGCCGGGCCUCCCACAAUGGAGGGCGAAAGCGUCAAGCCGAGCCCUCAGCCCACAGAGCAGGCUGGGGAUGGUGAGAAGAACCGGAGGAUGAUCACUGUCAACCCUGCCCACAUGGGG
rnacentral:lncRNA from 1 species